AAGGAUUAGAGAUAAAUUUCUCUAGCCACGUGAGGAAUGAAAUAGGGCACUUUUUUUUUAAAUAUCAGGGAGGUUCCAUAUGGUCAAGCACAGCCAGAGUGGUGGACAUCCUGACAGGGCAGUUCAGAGAGCAGCAGCUCCGGAAGAAAUGGGCCAAAGUCCAUAGAGAGAGGGAGCAGAAAAGAGGACAGAGUCACACUCCUGAACAACCAGAACAGUUUUCCAGUGUCCUCAUCUGCAGAAAUACCAGAUGAUCCAAAACAGAUUCUUUUUUUUUUUUUUUUUUUUCUGAGACAGAGUCUCACUUUGUUGCCAAGGCUGGAGAUCAAUGGCAUGCAAUUUUGGUUUACUGCCACCUCUGACUCCUGGGUUCAAGCGAUUUUCCUGCCUCAGCCUCCUGAGUAGCUGGGAUUACAGGAUGAAGGCGCGGAGACGGGAAACUCCUGCCUUUUAAACCACGCCCCUCACAGACCCUGGAAGAGCAGUCCCUCAGUUUUACCACGUGGACCAAUCUGGUCUCCAACUCCCGACCUCAAGUGAUCCACCAGCCUCGGCCUCCCAAAAUGCUGGGAUUACAGAAACGAGCCACUGCGCCUAGCUGAGUCGGGGUUUUGCAAUGUUGUCCAGGCUGAUCUUGAACUCCUGGGCUCAAGUGAUCCUUCUACGUCAGCCUCUGAAAAUGCUGGGAUUACAGACAUGGGCCACUGAGCCCAACCCCUGGAUGGGAGAUCUGGGACAAGACAAAGACUUUGCUAAGGCAAUGCUGUUCAUAGUGGUGGAUCUAAGCUGCACUACAAGUCUUCCAGAUUCUACCUGAUUGACCUAGAAAGUAUUUACCUUUGUUAUUUUAUUUCCAUUUAUUUAUUACAUUCUUGAGUAUCUCUUAUUGAAAGAAAAUUAAAUUUUCUUCAUAAUUGCUGCUUACAUUCUUUAUAAUCAAAAUGUUUGUUAAGUAUGUCUAUCCUCUUACUUUAGAAGUUUCUUGAGUAUUGGGAUCAUGCCAUAACCGUCUUAGUAUUUUUCACAGCCUCGAACACAAACCAAGUCCCUAUGCAACAAUGUUCUGGGCCGGGCGUGGCUCAUGCCUGUAAUCCCAGCACUUUGGGAGGCCGAGGCAGGUGAAUCACGAGGUCAAGAGAUCGAGACCAUCCUGGUCAACAUGGUGAAACCCCGUCUCUACUAAAAAUACAAAAAAUUAGCUGGGCACGAUGGUGCGUGCCUGUAAUCCCAGCUACUCAGGAGGCUGAGGCAGGAGAAUUGCCUGAACUCAGGAGGCAGAGGUUGCGGUGAGCCAAGAUCACGCCAUUGCACUCCAGUCUGGGUAACAAGAGCGAAACUCCACCUCAAAAAAAAAAAACAAUGUUCUGAUUUAUGUGUUGAAGGAAUAAAUGUACAUAUGCCUCUGGUGCUGAGAGGCAGCAUAAUAGUGGUUAAGAACCUUAGCUUAAGAGGUAAACAGACCAGGAUGGGCGUGGUGGCUCAUGCCUGUAAUCCAAGCACUUUGGGAGGCCAAGGCAGGCAGAUCACUUGAGUUCAGGAGUUUGAGACCAGCCUGGCCAACAUGGUGAAACUCCGUAUCUACUAAAAAUACAAAAAUUAGUUGUGUAUGAUGGUCUGUGCCUAUAUUCCCAGCUACUUGGGAGGCUGAGGCAGGAGAAUUGCUUGAAUUUGGGAGGUGGAGGCUACAACGAGCCAAGAUCACAGCACUGCAAUCCAGCCUGGAAGGCAAAGCAAGACUCCAUCUCCAAAAAAAAAAAAAAAGAGAGAGAGAGAUAAAAAGACCUGCUUCUGUUAUUUACCAUCUGUGGGAUUUGAGGCAAAUUGCUUCAUCGUUCUAAUUUUUGUAUUUGUUUCUUAAUUUGUGAAAUUAAUUAAGAUAGAACUUAUAAGCCUCUCUGAAACUUGAACUGGAUUAAUAUAUGUGACAUGCUUAGCACCAUUUGUGGCACUGGUAGGUUUUUUACUAAUUGUCACUAUUAUUCUCUAACCCUACUCAGGUUUGGGAACCUAAGAAUCAAAAGAUCUUGCAUUGCCACAGUGGGUUACUAGCAAGUUCAAAUAUGUAAUAUUUCCAUUUGGUCGAAAAUCCAUUCCUUUCAAAAACAACCAUGUAAACUCAGUAAAAUGAAUAAAAAGGCAAAUUGUGUUCAUUGAAGACUGCCUUGUGCCUUGAGUUUUCUGCAGUGUGUGGGAGACAAUUUAGUGGUUGGUUUUCUUGUCGUUAAUGCAGGAGAGAUGGUUCUUGUGACUUUCUGUCCUUUUCACUGUGGUAGCUCAGCUGCGAGGGAAUGGUAGCCUGUGGUGGUGAUAUUGCAUUGAUGAUGCCCACCAGCUUCUCUCCCUAUAGUUCUGAGUGUCUGUUUUGUAUUUAGAUCAGUGGGUAGAAGGUCUCACUGCUCUACAGAAUGACAUACACAUUGCCAGUAAUUACUUUCCUAAAAUGGAAAGGGAAUUAAAAUAAAAGCCUGAAUGUAGAAGGGGGUGGCAGGUUUUUGGAAAAGUGUAUUGGCAAUUUGAAGCAUGAAUAAUUAAUUUUGUCUUAAGAUUAAGUUCAGG
rnacentral:lncRNA from 1 species